rnacentral:rRNA from 1 species
UUGGAAACGAUAGCUAAUACCGCAUAAGAGUAGAUGUUGCAUGACAUUUGCUUAAAAGGUGCAAUUGCAUCACUACCAGAUGGACCUGCGUUGUAUUAGCUAGUUGGUGGGGUGACGGCUCACCAAGGCGACGAUACAUAGCCGACCUGAGAGGGUGAUCGGCCACACUGGGACUGAGACACGGCCCAGACUCCUACGGGAGGCAGCAGGG